GGGUUGUGAGGUUAAGUGACUAAGCGUACACGGUGGAUGCCUAGGCAGUCAGAGGCGAUGAAGGGCGUGCUAAUCUGCGAAAAGUGUCGGUAAGGUGAUAUGAACCGUUAUAACCGGCAAUACCCGAAUGGGGAAACCCAGUGUGUUUCGACACACUAUCGUAUGGUGAAUACAUAGCCAUACGAGGCGAACCGGGGGAACUGAAACAUCUAAGUACCCCGAGGAAAAGAAAUCAACCGAGAUUCCCCUAGUAGCGGCGAGCGAACGGGGAACAGCCCAGAACCUGAAUCAGUUCUUGUGUUAGUGGAAGCGUCUGGAAAGUCGCGCAGCAAAGGGUGAUAGCCCCGUACACUAAAAUGCAUUAAUUGUGAGUUCGAUGAGUAGGGCGGGACACGUGACAUCCUGUCUGAAUAUGGGGGGACCAUCCUCCAAGGCUAAAUACUCCUGACUGACCGAUAGUGAACCAGUACCGUGAGGGAAAGGCGAAAAGAACCCCGGCGAGGGGAGUGAAAUAGAACCUGAAACCGUGUACGUACAAGCAGUGGGAGCACCUUCGUGGUGUGACUGCGUACCUUUUGUAUAAUGGGUCAGCGACUUAUAUUUUGUAGCAAGGUUAACCGUAUAGGGGGAGCCGUAGGGAAACCGAGUCUUAACUGGGCGAAUAGUUGCAAGGUAUAGACCCGAAACCCGGUGAUCUAGCCAUGGGCAGGUUGAAGGUUGGGUAACACUAACUGGAGGACCGAACCGACUAAUGUUGAAAAAUUAGCGGAUGACUUGUGGCUGGGGGUGAAAGGCCAAUCAAACCGGGAGAUAGCUGGUUCUCCCCGAAAGCUAUUUAGGUAGCGCCUCGUGAACUCAUCUUCGGGGGUAGAGCACUGUUUCGGCUAGGGGGCCAUCCCGGCUUACCAAACCGAUGCAAACUCCGAAUACCGAAGAAUGUUAUCACGGGAGACACACGGCGGGUGCUAACGUCCGUCGUGAAGAGGGAAACAACCCAGACCGCCAGCUAAGGUCCCAAAGUCAUGGUUAAGUGGGAAACGAUGUGGGAAGGCAUAGACAGCCAGGAUGUUGGCUUAGAAGCAGCCAUCAUUUAAAGAAAGCGUAAUAGCUCACUGGUCGAGUCGGCCUGCGCGGAAGAUGUAACGGGGCUAAACCAUGCACCGAAGCUGCGGCAGCGACGCUUAGGCGUUGUUGGGUAGGGGAGCGUUCUGUAAGCCGUUGAAGGUGAACUGUGAGGUUUGCUGGAGGUAUCAGAAGUGCGAAUGCUGACAUAAGUAACGAUAAAGCGGGUGAAAAACCCGCUCGCCGGAAGACCAAGGGUUCCUGUCCAACGUUAAUCGGGGCAGGGUGAGUCGACCCCUAAGGCGAGGCCGAAAGGCGUAGUCGAUGGGAAACAGGUUAAUAUUCCUGUACUCGGUGUUACUGCGAAGGGGGGACGGAGAAGGCUAGGCUAGCCGGGCGACGGUUGUCCCGGUUUAAGCGUGUAGGGGGUGUUCCUGGUAAAUCCGGAACGCUAUCAACCCUGAGGCGUGAUGACGAUGCACUACGGUGCAGAAGUAGUUGAUGCCCUGCUUCCAGGAAAAGCCUCUAAGCAUCAGGUAACAUCAAAUCGUACCCCAAACCGACACAGGUGGUCAGGUAGAGAAUACCAAGGCGCUUGAGAGAACUCGGGUGAAGGAACUAGGCAAAAUGGUGCCGUAACUUCGGGAGAAGGCACGCUGGCGCGUAGGUGAAGAGACUUGCUCUCGGAGCUGAAGCCAGUCGCAGAUACCAGCUGGCUGCAACUGUUUAAUAAAAACACAGCACUGUGCAAACACGAAAGUGGACGUAUACGGUGUGACGCCUGCCCGGUGCUGGAAGGUUAAUUGAUGGGGUCAGCCGCAAGGCGAAGCUCUUGAUCGAAGCCCCAGUAAACGGCGGCCGUAACUAUAACGGUCCUAAGGUAGCGAAAUUCCUUGUCGGGUAAGUUCCGACCUGCACGAAUGGCGUAAUGAUGGCCAGGCUGUCUCCACCCGAGACUCAGUGAAAUUGAACUCGCUGUGAAGAUGCAGUGUACCCGCGGCAAGACGGAAAGACCCCGUGAACCUUUACUAUAGCUUGACACUGAACAUUGAGCCUUGAUGUGUAGGAUAGGUGGGAGGCUUUGAAGUGUGGACGCCAGUCUGCAUGGAGCCAACCUUGAAAUACCACCCUUUAAUGUUUGAUGUUCUAACUCGGCCCCAUAAUCUGGGGUGAGGACAGUGUCUGGUGGGUAGUUUGACUGGGGCGGUCUCCUCCCAAAGAGUAACGGAGGAGCACGAAGGUUAGCUAAUCACGGUCGGACAUCGUGAGGUUAGUGCAAAGGCAUAAGCUAGCUUGACUGCGAGAGUGACGGCUCGAGCAGGUACGAAAGUAGGUCUUAGUGAUCCGGUGGUUCUGAAUGGAAGGGCCAUCGCUCAACGGAUAAAAGGUACUCCGGGGAUAACAGGCUGAUACCGCCCAAGAGUUCAUAUCGACGGCGGUGUUUGGCACCUCGAUGUCGGCUCAUCACAUCCUGGGGCUGAAGUAGGUCCCAAGGGUAUGGCUGUUCGCCAUUUAAAGUGGUACGCGAGCUGGGUUUAGAACGUCGUGAGACAGUUCGGUCCCUAUCUGCCGUGGGCGUUGGAAGAUUGAGAGGGGUUGCUCCUAGUACGAGAGGACCGGAGUGAACGCACCACUGGUGUUCGGGUUGUCAUGCCAAUGGCACUGCCCGGUAGCUAAGUGCGGAAAAGAUAAGCGCUGAAAGCAUCUAAGCGCGAAACUUGCCUCGAGAUGAGUCUUCCCUGGGCCUUUAAGGCCCCUGAAGGAACGUUUAAGACUAAGACGUUGAUAGGCUGGGUGUGUAAGUGCAGCGAUGCAUUGAGCUAACCAGUACUAAUGAUCCGUGAGGCUUAACCUUACAACACCAAAGGUGUUUUAG
rnacentral:rRNA from 12 species